CCGGCGACGCAGCGCGGGUCCGCGUCGUGCCCGGGCUGCGGGAGCCGGCGGGGGCGGGGAACGCGUCUGCUCUCCGCGCGGUCCCGCGUCAGUGCAAAAUGGCGGCGGAGCCCGCACCCUCACAUCUGCCUAGGCCUCGCUGAUCGCGCUGCCGUGUCGGGAUUGGAAACUACUCCUAGAGAGAAUCCUGCCUUGAACAUGCAGCAGAAAUACUGUAACAUCUUGGUUUUUGGCUUGGAUGGCUCUGUUCUGUUUCUUGCUUGUUACAAGUUUGGAAAGUUAAUUUUGCUACAGUGAAGACUGAAUGCAUGAAUUGUUUAGAACAAUGAAAACUUUGAUUAUGGAGAUUUCAACAGUACCCAGCUGCAUUAUCUGAGUGGAUACCAUGGACGACUGUAAAUCUUCGAGCUGUGAAUAUAAGCAAGUCUUAUUAAAGGUCAUAUUCUUUUUCUGUUGUGAAACUAAUCCCUGGAUGUAUUGAAUGGUUCAGUAAUCUGUUGUAUAUUUUAGAGAUUUGUUCCAGCCUUUCAGCAAUGAAACCAUUUUAUGCAUAUACAAAUUAUGUCAGAAUUUAAAUUCAACUUCAAAUCUAGAAAAUCAGCGUUUCUCUGUAGAAACAGUGGGUUUGCAUGUUAUUUUCCCUUGUGUUGUAAAAAUCAUAAAAACAGGAUGAACUAGAAAAAGAUAAGAAUUCUAGCCAUUGGAAAUGUACCGUACUCACCUCAGAAUGUUCCAUUUACUUUUUUUAUGUCUAGGCAAUGUAUAUAUUGAUGUGAGUAGAAAUUCCUUUUACUUACACAGAGUAAUAUAGCACAUAAUUUUACAAUGUGAAAACAUUGUAUACAUUGUUAAUACAGGAGUGCCUAACAAGUGUAUUGAACCGUGUGUGCUGUUGUAUAUAUUGGGUUUGAAUGAAGGUUGCCCCAUUGAUGGACAAUGAAUGCAGAAAAUAUGUUGCACUUAGGUUAUGCUAGCAUGUGUUUAGCUUUGCUUUUUCUUUCUUUCAUUUGUUAUGAAGUGUUAAGACCUUUUCUGGAGAGAUGUAGCCAGUUAGCAAACUUAACUUUUUCUAGUACUUUCUUAUUAGAAGCAAAGUUACAUAAAAUUCUAAGGAAAAAAAAAACCCUAUUUUUCCCUCUGCCAAUACAAAGAAGUAUAAGGAGAACUUUUACAUAUUGUUUUCAAAAUUUUCCUUGGAAUAGUUAUCAAUCUGUGGAUGUAUUUGAUUUGGAGUCUCAUCUCCUUUCAGAAAUUAGAAGCCUCUUUUGUGCUGCCUCUUGGAUUAAGUGAACUGUGAUGAGACAAUGAUGUUUUCUUCUACUGGCAGAAAAUGUAAUUCAGCGUAGGUAGUCUUAUGCACUGAUUUUUUAAAUCAGUUUCAGCAGAAGAUACAGUUGUUCAAAGGAACAUGACAUAAGGAUUGAAAUAUUUAGAUGCAAGGGUGAGAUAUGGUUUAAAAAUAUCUGAGAUAGAUAGUGUUGGCAAGAAAAGGAGCCAAAAGAAGGGAGCAUUUAAGAAAUACAUGAAUUUGCCUAGACAAACUUAGUCUAUGGGUACUCUUUAAAAACAUAUCGAUUUGGAUUCAAAGUGUUCCAGUACCAUCUAACCAUCUUUAAUUGAUUUAGUAUUAAUGGAGAAAAUAAAUUAUCUUAAUAGUAUAUCAUCCCACUUCUAAGAGUAAUCAAGCAUUUUCAGUUACCAGUCAUGCAUUAAUACAUACAAACUUUCACAGGAAUUAAAUAUUAUUCUUAUUGACAUGUUAGGUAUUAUACAUGUCAGUGUGUAUGGCAUGCAUAGAUUGCCUUUACUGUAUGUCAGAACAGGCUGUAUUCUUACAGUUUUAGGAGGCUUCACUUCAGAGUCCCGGUUAAGUUUCUCAAGAUAAAGCAGGCUAUGGUUAGUGAUUUUGAUUUGCGGUCAGGAUAGCUACAUAGGAUAAAAUAAUUUCUUCUAGUCUUGUAAGGAAACCAAAGAAGAUGGAGAUCACAUAACCUAUUGCAGAGUUAGACUACUGCCAGUGUUCAAAAGUGUGAGGUUCAAAGGGACCAAGUGUUAAUUUCUGAGGCUAUUUCUGAGCAGAUUUAUUUUUGUUGUUAUACACAUGAAUAGUAUAAUUAACAUGACUUAUUGUUAUGGUAUCUCAGUGGUGAAAAUAUACUGGUAUAAAACAAUAUGCUAUGUUUGCAACUCCAACUUUUUACUAGCAUUUUUUUAGGAAUAAAUGAAGGACUAAUAAGUUUAAUCUAAAGACAUAUAACUAUCGUACAAGGUCUGCUAUGUUUUCCUUUUGACCACUGGGUACAUGAUUAACUACAAUUGAAUAAACAGCAAUGAAAUUAUUAAAAAAAAAAAGUUUGCUGGUUGAGGUAAUUAUUUGUCUCAUUAGCAGUAAGCAUAUGUAACAAAGUUUAAAUUUGUUGACAUUAAGCAUAGAUAUUGGCUCAAAGUAAAUCCAAGGUCUGCAGUGUCUUAAACCUCUGAAGAGCACUGCACAGCCUAAUAAUAGUAGUGUAGCUAUAAUGAUAGACGGUCUCAGAGAAACAUAUAUUCUGCCAAAUCAGUCUGCACUUUCAAAAAUGCUAGCAUUGAAGGAGUCACAGAGAGACAGGAGGAAAUAAGGUGACACAUGUACUUCCAAUAGUGGGAUAACUAUGAAGCAUAGAUUUUACUCAUAUGAAAAGAUGUAUUUGCGUUAAAAAUAUUCCUGAUUCCAUCAUAUACUGCCUUCCAUCCCAGUUAGUUUUAGCUCACAAACAUUGAAUAAGAGGACUGUUAUCAUUUUUAUUGCAUGUUUUUCUAUAAAACAACACUGAUUCCAUCUGCAUAUAACUGUGGAUGUAAACGUGAUGUAUAAAAUGUUCGUUUUAUGUGACCAAAAUAGAAUCCUUAUUGUUCUUUUAGCCAUUUUUUACACAAACUGCAGCUGAAGACCUAGCCUACCUAAAAAAUAUUUUUUCUGUAUUGGGGGGGGGUGUCUGAUUUUGGAAUGUUGUUAAAAUAUGGAGCAGCAAAGCAAGAUCAUGGAGUCAAGGAUACAGCAAGAGGGAAUAUCAGUUCACAAAAAUAUCUGUAUGCACUGUAUUGUGCAGCAUUAAUGCCUGGAUGGUUGCCAAGUGAGUACAGUAAUUUCUUUAAUUAUGCAGUUAAAACCGUCUGCAUCACGAAGGCAAGUCUAAUUAAUUUGAAGAUCUUAUUGUUUUACGUGAUGAGAGGGGGAUAAACUUCAUGUGGUUAUUGUUGCACUUGAGACUGUAGAUAAACUUGGCAGCUGAUUUACCACCAACAAAAAAGGAAACCUUACUGAGCUGGCAAAUCAUCAAGCACUGCAGUUUUCAUUAUUACAAUCACUAACAAUUUUUUGGCAUUAGAUUAUUGAGGGAGCAUGAUUCUCUAUUGGUCAGUGCUUCCAUAAUAAUAGCAACAAUAAUUUAUUUCUUAUGCAUGAAACUGCUUCUCAGAAUAGAUAAAAAGAGAUAUUGCCUAUCCUGAGGGGCCUACAAACUCCUCAAGCAUGAUUUAAUGCAGUUAUAACAUAGAAGUGAGGGAGUUAGUCAUAACAGAUUAAUGACGAUCCUUUCUUACUGUUGAUUAUAGUAUUGGUAUUACCAAAGAACAGACUGAAAAGUAGGUUUUAAUUUUUUAAUUGGCUAGCUUCUUGUAAGAGCUGCAAAAUAAAUUGGUCUGAGGGUGGGCAUUAGUGGCAUUGCAGAUCCGUUAGGGGAAAAUCAUUUGUAGAGGGUAUGAUAGAAAGUAUAGAUGAUUACAGAGAAGGUAGAUGAAUAUUGGUGUUUUGCUACCAGCUUCAAUUUAGAGCAUGGAUUUUGUCUACAUUUACAUUCUUCUAAAACAAAUGCAAAAGUCAGGUGUGUGGUUAUUUCUAGUUUAUUCUCUUAGAGCAGUAUCAUCAAGAGGUGACAUGCCAGUUGGUUCUUAGUUGGAAAUAUGUAGAUGACUUGAUAUCAGGCCCUGCAGGCAGCACUAGGCCUCAUUGGCCCUGACCAGCCUCAUCUGGGGCCUCCACCCAACCCUGCCAUGGCCCAGGACCCCAUUUCAGCCCAGUCCAGGGCUGUCAGUUCCUGCCCAGCAAUGCCGUAGUGGUGCUGGGCUCCAGCUCUGCCACAGCCUUGCCCAGCCGCAUGCCCUGCUGAUCUGGACUUUAACCUGCAGGCUAAGUUCCCAGCCUGACCUUGGUCCAGCCUUAUCACCAUGGACCUGUCUGGCAAUCACUGCAUCUGAUUCUGAUUCUGACCUGUGGAUUGAUCUUCUAGCUUGACCUUGGACCUAUCUUAUCACCACGAACUUGCCUGGGAAGCUCAGCUCUUGGUUGAACCUGGCUGUUGUCUCUGGGUCUAUGCUGCUUGCCUUGCUUGGGUCCUGUAGGACUGAGCCCUGGUUGGUGAGGCCCCUGCCAGCUCACGGCCCUCCAUUCCUUAGGGUCAGCUGGCCAUUGCUGCUCCCUGACCCUUGGUUUUGCUAGGAACAGAGAGUGUCCUCCUUCUGGGAAGAAAAGCUUUCUGUAGUGUGUGCAAUGAAACAUCCAGAAGUACUGGCCAGUCUUGAGCCCAAUCUUAAGAGUUAUUGUAUGACUUGGUUUCCACCCACUUCUUAAAAAUCAGCUAUGUGAGCCAAGAGGUUAAUCAAAAUAUAGUUCAUAGUAUGGAAGAUGAUUUGAAAAUAAUUUUAUAGUUACUUACUGAUUUUUCUCUUUUAUAGAUGGUUAGUCCUGCCUAAUGAUAUGGUA